GCCAAUGAUGUCUUUACUCACGAUGGUCUUCCAAGCUUCCUCGAGGCUUUGACGAUACUGCCAAAUGGCAUAGCUGAUGGCAAGCU